UAGUGUUAUGAGCCUGGUGAUAGUUUGACAAGGCUUUGGUGGAGGUUGUGUUAGUAUUGCCAUGGGUAGUGUUAUGAGCCUGGUGAUAGUUUGACAAGGCUUUGGUGGAGGUUGUGUUAGUAUUGCCAUGGGUAGUGUUAUGAGCCUGGUGAUAGUUUGACAAGGCUUUGGUGGAGGUUGUGUUAGUAUUGCCAUGGGUAGUGUUAUGAGCCUGGUGAUAGUUUGACAAGGCUUUGGUGGAGGUUGUGUUAGUAUUGCCAUGGGUAGUGUUAUGAGCCUGGUGAUAGUUUGACAAGGCUUUGGUGGAGGUUGUGUUAGUAUUGCCAUGGGUAGUGUUAUGAGCCUGGUGAUAGUUUGACAAGGCUUUGGUGGAGGUUGUGUUAGUAUUGCCAUGGGUAGUGUUAUGAGCCUGGUGAUAGUUUGACAAGGCUUUGGUGGAGGUUGUGUUAGUAUUGCCAUGGGUAGUGUUAUGAGCCUGGUGAUAGUUUGACAAGGCUUUGGUGGAGGUUGUGUUAGUAUUGCCAUGGGUAGUGUUAUGAGCCUGGUGAUAGUUUGACAAGGCUUUGGUGGAGGUUGUGUUAGUAUUGCCAUGGGUAGUGUUAUGAGCCUGGUGAUAGUUUGACAAGGCUUUGGUGGAGGUUGUGUUAGUAUUGCCAUGGGUAGUGUUAUGAGCCUAGUGAUAGUUUGCCAAGACUUCUGCACCAUGGACGUGAAAACACUCAUGAGAAUCCUACUUCAUUCAUUCAUUCAUAAUUUCUAGAGGCUGAACAACACCCUGGCGGACUGUUUAUAGACUGACCUGCCGCACAAUUACCUUCUUCCUGCACAAAAUUACCCCUUUUCCGAGACUCCUCCCCCACGCGAGACAUCUAUAGGCUCUUCGUCUCAUCAGCUCUCCUCCUCUUACUGAUAGUCUUCUACCUCUUAAAUUCC